CUGAUCUGAAGUGAUCUGCCCACCUCGGCUUCCCAAAGUGCUGGGAUUACAGGCGUGAGCCACUGCGCCUGGCCCCUUCAGGUGGGUAUUGAGGCUUCACUACAAUACUAGUUCCCCGUUGCUGCCGCAAUAAAUUACCACACACUUAGUGGCUUAAAACAGCACAGAGGUAUUCCUUUACAUUUCUGAAGGCCAGAAUUCUAAAGUCAGUCCCACUGAGUCAACGUGGGAGCAGGGUCAGUGCCUUCCCAGGCUCUGCGGGAGAAUCUGUUUCCUGGCCCUGGAGGCGGCCUGUACUCCUCAGCUUGUGCUGCCCUUCUCGAAUGACUCGCGUUUCCUGCUUUCAUCACUACACCUCCCACCGCUCUCCAUCACCUGCUCUGCUCUUAUAAGGAUCCAGUUUUCAGAAAAAUGGAAUAGUCGUAUCACUGAUCUACGUAAACAAGUUGAAGAAUUGUCUGAAAGAAAAUACAGUGUGUCUAAACUGGAAAAGUCCUGUAAUAGUUUGUUCAUGAGCAUUUACACAAUGGAGUUGCUGUUUCAUCAUGGGGGUACUGUGGACAAACCCAGGGCUGCUGACAUGAACUUAUGAAUUCAACACAUGAAGAUUUACAGCUUGACAAACCAGCUUCAGGAGGGAUUGUGCUGCAUUCGAACAUAGGUUCUGCCAUCAAACACAGAAUGCCCUGAUCCUUAGAGGCAGAGGCAGCUCUUCAGCCUAUGGGGGAGGCAGACCAGUUUUACAAAUAGCUGCUGGCCUGGAGAAUAACAGUUUCUACCAAGUGAGUGGUUAAAAAAGGCAGCCUGGAAAAAUAACUGUGGGAUGGAAUCCUGACUACUCUGUGUCUGAUGACUGGAACUUACCGAGCGCUGCUUAGUUGCAUCAUAGACACCACCUGUCUUUGAACAGCUACCCUGCCUCUUGAUGAGAAUGCAAAGGCUGCCAGGGGCCACUGCUGUAUGGAGUGGAUUUCGGUCAUUUCUGCUUAGAGCACAGAGCUCAAGCUGUUGGACUCGCCGAGGCAGUAAAAGUACCAUAUCCUGUGUUUGAAUCAAACUCCAAUUUCCUGUAUAUAGAAGGCUUGCCAGACAGGAUUCCCUUCCGAAGCCCUACCUGGUUUGGAAUUCCAUGACUUGAAAGGAUCCUUCGUGGGAGUAAUAAAAUCAAGUUUGUUGUUAAAAACUUUGCAGUCCCCAAAAAAACCAUGAAGCCCUGAGAGUAAUGAAAAGCUUCCUGACAUUGAGGUCACUGUGGAAGAUCAGAGGAUCAGAGAUCUCUCCUCUACACGAGGUGCCAUCCUUUCCUGAAGGAGCUCCUUGUAAAGUGCAUGAGGUGUUCCUUUUGGUAAAAAGACACACUGCGCAACCACAGAGACCUGAGCCUGAACCUAUAAAGAUUUGAACAAGAUCAGCGGCAACAUCAGAUUCUCGUGAGCACGAACCCUGUUGUGAACUGUGCAUGCAAGGGAUCUACCUUGCUCUGUCCUUAGGAGAAUCUAAUGCCUGAUGAUCUG
rnacentral:lncRNA from 1 species